rnacentral:rRNA from 1 species
GACGAACGCUGGCGGCGUGCCUAAUACAUGCAAGUAGAACGCACAGUUUAUACCGUAGCUUGCUACACCAUAGACUGUGAGUUGCGAACGGGUGAGUAACGCGUAGGUAACCUGCCUGGUAGCGGGGGAUAACUAUUGGAAACGAUAGCUAAUACCGCAUAAUAUUAAUUAUUGCAUGAUAAUUAAUUGAAAGGUGCAAUUGCACCACUACCAGAUGGACCUUCGUUGUAUUAGCUAGUAGGUGAGGUAACGGCUCACCUAGGCGACGAUACAUAGCCGACCUGAGAGGGUGAUCGGCCACACUGGGACUGAGACACGGCCCAGACUCCUACGGGAGGCAGCAGUAGGGAAUCUUCGGCAAUAGACGAAAGUCUGACCGAGCAACGCCGCGUGAGUGAAGAAGGUUUUCGGAUCGUAAAGCUCUGUUGUAAGAGAAGAACGGGUGUGAGAGUGGAAAGUUCACACUGUGACGGUAUCUUACCAGAAAGGGACGGCUAACUACGUG